GACCUGCACUGCUAUUUAUUAUGCCAACAAGCUGCCUUCUGCUGGUAUGGUGCUUGCUACAGCGAAAUUUGCCAAAAUUUUGAUGAAUUUAGCACUUUGUAAACUGCAUGAGCACUCUCUAAAUUGAAAUGAUCUUGCAGUGACCAUGUAUCUUCUAUGUAUUAACUUCUUGUAUAAGUUGAAAUUUGCUUAUGUACCUCUACAUUUUCAAAGCUCUCUCAUCUAACUUCUCCAUGAGCACUUAUAAACAUAUAAUGGAAUUUCUGUAAGUUAGGAAUGAAAUAGUUACAAUGGGACUAUAUAUUCUAAUACUUCAGAAGUUCCUAUUAUGGUUUUGUUACAAUGAAAUAGUUUAAAAAUAUGCGACAUUUGUUAAAGUUUUGUUUUAAUGAUCUUUUCAUUAUUGUUUUAGUAAUGGCAUGAAAAAUGGGCAUCUUAAAUUGGUUUAAAAAUUGUAAUCAGGUCAUAUCCCUGUUCCCAUCAUCUCAAGGCUUAGAAGUGACUUGGUCAUCUGUUGUUAAAAUUGGCCAAUCUCGGUACCAUGAGGGGCCUGGCAAAGAUCCAUUUAGACCUGACCAGAAGACACCAGUGAAGAAUUUCUUUCUUUCUGGUUCUUACACAAAGCAGAUUUUUUAAGAGAAUGUCACUAGAGACAUCAGAUUAUCUUACGGUGUGUGGUUCUAGAGGCUCCUAAAUUUCACUACAGCUUAAUUAAGACAUGGAUAAGACAUGGAUGCAUUCAAAUCGAUUGUCGAAAGAGUACGAGAAAGGGGUAUCGAAAUUAGUUAAAUUUGCGGUUGCGCACGCUGAAGACCCGAGUCGAAUGAAGUGUCCUUGCUUAGGUUGUUGUUAUGGGAGUCGGGUUGACGUGGUUCAGUUGGCAUCGCAUUUAGUACUGUUUGGAAUUGAUAGAAGUUAUACAUGUUGGAAUUUGCAUGGUGAGAAAAGUAACGGGAAUGUCAAAUCAGGGGAUAAUACGACGUAUGCUUCAAACGACAAUGGCACAAACACAUACGAUUAUGAUCGAGUCGAAGAGAUUGCAGAAGCACUUGAAGAAGAUCUUGAGGAUUUUCCCGAAAUGUUUUAGAGGUUGGUAAGCGAUGCAGAGAAACUGUUGUAUGAUGGUUGUACAAAAUUCACAAGAUUGUCUGUGGUGUUAAAGUUGUACAACUUAAAGUCGAAAAAUGGAUGGUCAGAUAAAAGUUUCACUGAGUUAUUAGCCCUUAUGAAAGAUAUGCUACCAGAGUAUAAUGUUCUUCCCAAUCGAAUGUAUGAGGCCAAAAAGAUGUUGUCCUCUAUUGGCCUGAGCUAUGAUAGGAUACAUGCUUGUCCAAAAGAUUGCGUUUUGUUUCGAAACGAGUAUGCAGCGUUAAAUGAGUGUCCUAAAUGCGGUUCCCCUCGAUAUAAGAAAAAGUUGUCUCUGGCAAAAGUUUUAUGGUAUUUUCCUAUAAUUCCGAGAUUUAGACGCAUGUAUCGUAGUGAAACCGAUUCAAGACACUUGACUUGGCAUGCAGAUGAAAGAAUUAUUGAUGGAAAGUUGCGACAUCCAGCAGACUCACCAUAGUGGAUGAAAGUUGAUAAUGAUUAUCCUGAAUUUGGUAAGUGUAGGCUAGUUGAGGUUAGUGUACUGCACAAGUGAAAAGCAAGUUGCGGACUUGUUGACAAAAGCGGUAUCGAAUGAAGUUUUCAAGAAGCUAUUGAGGAGUUUGAACAUGAGGAAUGUUGAGCACUUGACUUAAGGUGGUUUGUUGAAAGUUGGUUUUAAGUCAUAUGCAUUUUGGAGACCUCUGGUAGCUGUUUUGGAGAAACAGCUUAUUGGAAUAAGCAUUUUGGCUGGUUCUGGAAUUUGCAGGUUUCGAAGAAGAAACCGGUUUCCAGAGCUGGUUUCGAAUAAGAAACCGGUUUCUAGGUUUUUGGAAAACGGUUUCUAGCACGAUAUUUUGAAAAAUAACAAUGUUAUUUUGUUCAGUUUAUUAGUUGUUUUGUUAUAGUUGCUUAGUUUUGUACACACUAUAAAAGGACUAUUUUGUGUAAUAUUGCAACU